rnacentral:rRNA from 1 species
GCUAUGUACGGAAGAGAUAACCGCUGAAAGCAUCUAAGCGGGAAACUCGCCUGAAGAUGAGGAUUCCCUGGAGCCUUGAGCUCCUUGAAGGGUCGUUCGAGACCAGGACGUUGAUAGGCUGGGUGUGGAAGCGCAGUAAUGCGUUAAGCUAACCAGUACUAAUUGCCCGUAAGGCUUGAUCCUAUAACCAGUGUGUUUC